CGGGUAGUCCUACCUGAUUUGAGGUCAAACGUCGAUAAGGAAGACGCCCCGGAAGGCGUCGACGCAUUAGAGGCACGGGACGAUUCUGUCGUGCACUUCGGCGAACGGCGAUCAUUAUCACGCCAAAGGCCUUGUCAUGCAAAGUCGAAAAGUCGACCGCAAGCCGAUUCAUUUCAGAGGAGCCCGAGUCCUGAACGUAUCCAGGUCUCCGGCAGCCCCCACCAUCCAAGCACCCGCACGAAAAAAAAUCGAGGAGGGGUUGAGAAUUUACUUGACGCUCAAACAGGCAUGCUCCUCGGAACACCGAGGAGCGCAAGGUGCGUUCAAAGAUUCGAUGAUUCACUGUAGAUCUGCAAUUCACAUUACAUAUCGCGAUUCGCUGCGUUCUUCAUCGAUGCGAGAGCCAAGAGAUCCGUUGCUGAAAGUUGUAAUAACUUUUGUCUCAAAGAAUCGCGUCUCCUGGAAGUCGCGACUCCAUGAUGAUGAUGACAUUCAAAGACUUUCUACACGAAGAGGUAUAUUGAACACCGA
rnacentral:misc_RNA from 1 species